GACGAACGCUGGCGGCGUGCUUAACACAUGCAAGUCGAACGGAAAGGCCCCUUUGGGGGUACUCGAGUGGCGAACGGGUGAGUAACACGUGAGUAACCUGCCCUUGACUUCGGGAUAACUUCAGGAAACUGGGGCUAAUACCGGAUAGGAAUCCUUGCUGCAUGGUGGGGGUUGGAAAGCUUCGGCGGUUUUGGAUGGACUUGCGGCAUAUCAGCUUGUUGGUGGGGCAGUGGCUUACCAAGGCGGUGACGGGUAGCAGGCCUGAGGGGGCGACCGGCCACAUUGGGACUGAGAGACGGCCCAGACUCCUACGGGAGGCAGCAGUGGGGAAUAUUGCACAAUGGGCGGAAGCCUGAUGCAGCAACGCCGCGUGCGGGAUGACGGCCUUCGGGUUGUAAACCGCUUUCAGCAGGGGCGAAGCUUGUGGUGACGGUACCUGCAGAAGAAGCACCGGCUAACUACGUG
rnacentral:rRNA from 1 species